rnacentral:rRNA from 1 species
UACGUAGGUGGCAAGCGUUGUCCGGAUUUACUGGGCGUAAAGAGCGCGCAGGCGGUCGUGCAAGUCGCGUGUGAAAGCCCCCGGCUCAACUGGGGAGGGUCACGCGAUACUGCUCGACUCGAAGGCAGGAGAGGGAAGUGGAAUUCCCGGUGUAGUGGUGAAAUGCGCAGAUAUCAGGAAGAACACCCGUGGCGAAAGCGGCUCUCUGGAACGGUACUGACGCUGAGACGCGAAAGCGUGGGGAGCGAACAGG